UACGGGGGGGCAAGCGUUGUUCGGAAUUCCUGGGCGUAAAGGGCUCGUAGGUGGCCAACUAAGUCAGACGUGAAAUCCCUCGGCUUAACCGGGGAACUGCGUCUGAUACUGGAUGGCUUGAGUUCGGGAGAGGGAUGCGGAAUUCCAGGUGUAGCGGUGAAAUGCGUAGAUAUCUGGAGGAACACCGGUGGCGAAGGCGGCAUCCUGGACCGACACUGACACUGAGGAGCGAAAGCCAGGGGAGCAAACGGG
rnacentral:rRNA from 1 species